CACACUCCAAAAUUUUCAUUUCCCCUCCUUUCAAACAAUUUCCCACUUUAUACACCACACAAGUGAACCCAAACCUCACAUGUGCACCGCCUCCAUCCCAAUCUCCGUGUCUCUCGCCGGAACUUUUAUCCAUUCUCUUUCUUUGCCCUAAUAAAGGAAUCUCAUACCCUUUUUUGGAACUAUAGUCAUUGCCUCGAAACUUCCACUUCCUCACAGCCUCAAAUUAAAGUGACGUGAAUGAGAAAAAGCUGUGCGGAAAGGGUUUGAUAGCUCUACCAGAUUUAAUGUUGAAGGUUAAUUUCUUGAGGCCCAUUCUUUUUCAAUAAUUUAUUCGAAAGUUAUGGAUGUGAGAGAAUACAGAAACAAUUCUAUUCACUCUAUCAAUAAUCGAGCCGGAUCUGGUGUAUCAUUGGUAGAGCUCCGUUCUUGCAAUUGGGUCAUAUUGGUCAUGGGUUGAGAACGGGAAUUGAACUAAAUCCUAGACUAAUAACCCGAUAACUCCAAUAAUCGAAUUGUUGAAUAAAUUUCGACCUUGUCUUGUUUUCAUUUUUCAAGCUGAGACGGGAUGAGGGUGGGGAGGGGAGGGGAGAAUAAGCCCAAAAUGAUAUAUUACUUUUGCGGCUUUAACCCUUGGAUUUAACUAAUAAGCUGUGUAUUUACUAUUUAGAAUAAGACUUUAUUCUAG
rnacentral:lncRNA from 1 species